AGUGGCGGACGGGUGAGUAACACGUAAGAAUUUGCCUUUAGGAGGGGGACAACAACUGGAAACGGUUGCUAAUACCCCAUAUGCUUUCGAGUGAAAUGGAUUUUUCCGCCUAAAGAGAAGCUUGCGGCUGAUUAGCUUGUUGGUGAGGUAAUGGCUCACCAAGGCGACGAUCAGUAUCUGGUUUGAGAGGAUGAUCAGACACACUGGAACUGAGACACGGUCCAGACUCCUACGGGAGGCAGCAGUGGGGAAUUUUCCGCAAUGGGCGAAAGCCUGACGGAGCAAUCUCGCGUGAGGGAUGACGGCCUAUGGGUUGUAAACCUCUUUUUUCAGGGAGGAACAAAAUGACGUGUACCUGAAGAAUAAGCAUCGGCUAACUCCGUGCCAGCAGCCGCGGUAAGACGGAGGAUGCAAGUGUUAUCCGGAAUCACUGGGCGUAAAGCGUCUGUAGGUGGUUUAAUAAGUCAACUGUUAAAUCUUGAAGCUCAACUUCAAAAUCGCAGUCGAAACUAUUAGACUAGAGUAUAGUAGGGGUAAAGGGAAUUUCCAGUGGAGCGGUGAAAUGCGUAGAUAUUGGAAAGAACACCGAUGGCGAAGGCACUUUACUGGGCUAUUACUGACACUCAGAGACGAAAGCUAGGGUAGCAAAUGGGAUUAGAUACCCCAGUAGUCCUAGCCGUAAACAAUGGAUACUAGAUGU
rnacentral:rRNA from 1 species